rnacentral:rRNA from 1 species
GCCUGAUGGAGGGGGAUAACUACUGGAAACGGUAGCUAAUACCGCAUAACGUCGCAAGACCAAAGAGGGGGACCUUCGGGCCUCUUGCCAUCAGAUGUGCCCAGAUGGGAUUAGCUAGUAGGUGGGGCUCACCUAGGCGACGAUCCCUAGCUGGUCUGAGAGGAUGACCAGCCACACUGGAACUGAGACACGGUCCAGACUCCUACGGGAGGCAGCAGUGGGGAAUAUUGCACAAUGGGCGCAAGCCUGAUGCAGCCAUGCCGCGUGUAUGAAGAAGGCCUUCGGGUUGUAAAGUACUUUCAGCGAGGAGGAAGGCAUUGUGGUUAAUAACCGCAGUGAUUGACGUUACUCGCAGAAGAAGCACCGGCUAACUCCGUGCCAGCAGCCGCGGUAAUACGGAGGGUGCAAGCGUUAAUCGGAAUUACUGGGCGUAAAGCGCACGCAGGCGGUCUGUCAAGUCGGAUGUGAAAUCCCCGGGCUCAACCUGGGAACUGCAUUCGAAACUGGCAGGCUAGAGUCUUGUAGAGG